GACGGGGGAUGCAAGUGUUAUCCGGGAUCACUGGGCGUAAAGCGUCUGUAGGUGGUCAAAUAAGUCAACUGUUAAAUCUUGAGGCUCAACCUCAAAAUCGCAGUCGAAACUAUUCGACUAGAGUAUAGUAGGGGUAAAGGGAAUUUCCAGUGGAGCGGUGAAAUGCGUAGAGAUUGGAAAGAACACCGAUGGCGAAGGCACUUUACUGGGCUAUUACUAACACUGAGAGACGAAAGCUAGGGUAGCAAAUGGG
rnacentral:rRNA from 1 species